AGCCGAGGCCGCAGCCCGCCCGAGUCCGGGGAGGGAGGACCCGCGAGAGGACCCAGGGAGCCUCCCACAGGUGUCCUCCUACCCCCGCCACGCAGAGCCCAUCUCCCGCGGACGUGCAACCAGCCCUUAGGGACCCCUGGCACGGGGUCCGGAUGUGACGUGGGCCGACUUCCGCCUCGGAGGUCUGAGGGAGCGGAGGGCCUCGUGUGGGGGGCGCAUUGGGGUCCCCUGGAAGGAGGCCAGGCCCGGGCCGGCGGCAGCCGGGCAGCAGGGACUUCAAGAACUGGUAGCAGAGGCCUCAGUCUGAGGCGGGGGUCCCUCAGGACACAGAGCUGAGGAGGCGCGGGCCAGAGCCACUUGUCCAGGUGAGGUGCACGCUCUCUCUGAGCCUGAUGUCAGGGGUUCUCCCAGCCCAACACAGGGGAGCCCUAUGCAGGGGAGCCGGGCACGGCCCCCUGUCAGACCUGGCACCUCGGGGUGUCUUGGCCGGGCUGCCCCCUGACAAGCUCUCCCAACUCUGUCUUUAGG
rnacentral:lncRNA from 12 species